AACGAACGCUGGCGGCAUGCCUAACACAUGCAAGUCGAACGAGACCUUCGGGUCUAGUGGCGCACGGGUGCGUAACGCGUGGGAACCUGCCCUUAGGUUCGGAAUAACUCCCCGAAAGGGGUGCUAAUACCGGAUAAUGUCUUCGGACCAAAGAUUUAUCGCCUUUGGAUGGGCCCGCGUUGGAUUAGCUAGUUGGUAGGGUAAAAGCCUACCAAGGCGACGAUCCAUAGCUGGUCUGAGAGGAUGAUCAGCCACACUGGGACUGAGACACGGCCCAGACUCCUACGGGAGGCAGCAGUGGGGAAUAUUGGACAAUGGGGGAAAGCCUGAUCCAGCAAUGCCGCGUGAGUGAUGAAGGCCUUAGGGUUGUAAAGCUCUUUUACCCGGGAUGAUAAUGACAGUACCGGGAGAAUAAGCGCCGGCUAACUCCGUG
rnacentral:rRNA from 1 species